rnacentral:lncRNA from 1 species
GCCUCACCCUCCGAUGUAGCUAGGACUACAGGACCGCGACCCGGCGCUGCCUAAGAACUGUUUUUAAACGUGAAAGCCACGGCUAUCAUUUGCUUUUUGCUCUGCUCUUCAUCUUCUGGAUAAACCUCGUAACACACUGCUUGUUUUGGGUGGUAGUCUGCUGCCUACGCCCCGUCAGACAAGUGGCCUGAGUCCCCCGCAACCCCUGCAGGUCCGGCCGCCGGCGCCAAGCCUCAAGGCAUCCAAGCCAGGAACGAUCGCGGUCAGCUCUGCCACGGAACAUGUGCAAGACCCGGCAGCAGGUUCCGGGGGAGGCGAAUUGAUUUCACAACGGUCGAGAAGGAGGACCCCGCCCACUUCGUCAUUUCUCGGAAGCCCAGGGACUCGCCGGAAGAGCGGCUCAAAAGCCGGAAAACUGGCAAAUCCGAGUCUCCCGGCGCAUGCGCGGCGCAAUCGGCUUCGCGUGGUUGCAGUAGAGAGGAUCCCUCCGCCAGCCACUGCAUCCGGCGGCCGGAUCUAACUUACCCGCUAGCGUUUUACCCUUGCGCGGCCGUGGCGUAGGGCGGUCUUUUCCCUUGGUCCUCCGCGGCGCCGCCUCUUGUGACGUAAGCCGCAGAAUCCUCUGUCUUAGUUCGGCUCUAUUGCCGCGAGCUUGACUCUUCCUGGGUCUGAGGAAAAGUAAAAGUAAUUUUGUCAUUUCCUGAAACUUCAAGUUAAACCUUUAAGCUGUUCAUUUCCUAAAAGGGUGAAAACGCGGGCACCCCUCGAGCUAGUUCAUCGCCUUUUAACCUGGUUUCGCUCUGUCACCCAGGCUGGAGUGCAGUGGCACCAUCUCAGCUCACUGCAGCCUUGACCUCCCAGGCUCAAGUGAUUCUCCCACCUCAGCCUCUCUAGUAGCUGGGAUUACAGGUGCGUGCCACCAUACUUGGCUAAUUUCUUAAUUUUUUGUAGAAAAAGGGUUUUGCUGUUAUCCAGGCUGGUUUCAAAACUCCUGGACUCAAGUAAUUCCCCUGCCUUGGCUUCCCAAAGUGCUUGGAUUGUAGGCCUGAGCCACUGCACCCAGCCAAAUUUUUUUUCUUUAUAAGUUAUCCGACCUCAGAUUUCUUUAUUGCAGCACUAAAUGGAAUAGACACAUCUCAACAUUUUCCUAAUUCCUCUCUUUCCAUUCUUUGUUGGACCCACUCAAACCAGGUUUCACCCUUGCUGCAUCACUAGACCUGCUCCUAUCAAGGUCACUGUGACUGCUCUACCAUUGGUUAAUUCUCACACUUUACCUUUCCCAGCCUAUCAGCAGCUGUGACACAGUGGCCUCUUAAUUGGCUUUUCUGCCUUUACCCAUGUUGCCUGAAGUCUGUUCUCAACACAGAAGCCAAAGUGAUCCUUUUAACAGCUUUAUCACUGGGUCAACUCAUCCCAUUCAUCUCCUCAAUAAGUUCAUACUAUUAAUAAAAGCCAAAAUUUAAAUCAUGUCCUAAAACCCUCUCAGUAAUUCUGGAACCUUCUCUCCUGCUGUUCUCUCAUAGAUUUCUCCCUUCCAAGCACAUUGGCUUCCCAGCUGUUGUUCCAACACACCUGGACACACUUUUCCUUAGGUCACGUCAGUAGGGAAUUUCUUCUGCCUAGAAGGCUCUCCACUCAUCAUUAUUAUCUAUCCUCUCCAGCCCUCCCUCCUUCCACCCCCACCACUAGAAUGCAAAACCUGUAAGGCAGGGAGGUUGGCCCUUGUUCACUGCUCUCAGUGCUUCUUCACUGCUCUCACAUAAUCUCAGUGCUAAGAAUUAUGCCCAUAGUAGUCCUCAUACAAUGUUUGUCCAAUGACCGAAAGAACUCAUGUUUUGUCCUCAUCCUGUACCUUCCUACUUGUGUAACCUUGGCCUGGAAUGCCCUUUCUCCCAUCUGGAAAGUAUUCAUUCCUUCAGACUUACUUUUUGGUGAAAAGUCUUUUUCUUUUUCUUCUUCCUUUUCUAUUACCCAUGCUGGUGAUUUAAAUACACUUAACCACAAUUACCUUUAUUAUCCCUAAGAAAUUUAAGAUUCAAGAUGGCCAACUAGAUGCAGCCAGGAAGAACAUCUGUCACUGAGGGACCGGGACAUCAGGAAGACUGGUGCACAUUUAACAGAUCUUUGGAGGAAAGGCAUUAAGAGUGGACAGAGGGAGGACACAGAUACUGGGCUGAAGGGAGAGGAAGCUGGGAACACUGCAUGGGGCUACUGCACACUAGGACUUAUUCCUGGCCCCCAGUGACUCUUGGGGAAGGGAUGAGUUGAAUGGGCAAGGAGUGACCCACCCUUACCAUGGACCUCUGGAAUCCUGGCAGCCAAAGACCCCAUGACCCCCAUGGACACUUAAGCUGGCAAGGAUAACCGUUUAGAGAGGUAGUAGGGGCAGGACUCCAGCCUGCAAGGAGCCCAGGGGGUUUGGUGCAGGAGUGUCUGAAGUGGAGCAUGACCAGGGAUGCCCAUCUCUCAAGGCUCACCAUGCUCCCCUAGGAGAGUUUAGCCUUACAGAAACUAUCGGACCUGAACAGAGCAGGACAGUCUUGCCUGUGAGAUGUGAGCAGUCUUAUCUGAGUGCCCCACUGUCUGCUAGCCUCUUCUUGGCCUGUCCAAGUCUGCUUGCAGUGCAGCCUCAGAUGCCCAACUAGGGUGCGUUUUGUGAAUCCAUAUCAUAGAUCCUUUGUUGUCAUACCAUCAGAGAGCUCCAAAAGAGCAGCCUGUGCCGACGUGCACCAACCCACCCACACCCUCCCCUGACUGCAGCCUCCUUCGCGUCACUUUGCCUGCGCUCAUUUGCCCACGUCCACUCCACACUGCUUAGCCAGCAUGGUGCCUGCCCUCCUUCUCUGACAUGGGUGUGCACAUGUACCCCACCAUGCCACUGUUGCCGACAUAAGUGCAUGGAGGCCAGUGGCCUUGUCCCCCACGCAUUGCUGCUGCUGCCAGUAAAAACACACACAUGGAGCCGAUAGCGCUGUCCCCAUCAGUGCCUUGUCCCUGUGCACACACCACCACCAGUGUGAAUGUGUACAAAAAGGCGACUGCCCCCAAGCCUACCAGUACCCCACCUAAGCUGCUGAGCAUGGACCCGCCUUGCUGCCACUGUUGUUGGCAUAUGCGAACAAGCAUAGAUCCUGCUACAACUGCCCCAAAGAAGCACUUUUGCUGGCAUCACCCAUUGGAGUAUUGUUGCUAGUGGUCCUAACCUCCAGCAGCCAGAGGACAAAGCCAGGGGCCCGAUACCAGCCCCCUAGAGUUAUAGCAUGCAGCCCAGAAGUGCUGAGCUGAUCCUUGGUCUCCUAAAAUCUUCCAGAAAUGAAGACAGUCAACUUAACCCACCUUAUAUAACAAUCAAACGCCCAAGGGCAUCAAAGAAGAUAAAAGCAAAAAAAAAUUAAAACUCAUCCAAAGGACAGCAACUUCAAAGAUUGAAGGAACGUCAGCCUAUGCAAAUGAGAAAGAACCAGCACAGGAACUGUGGCAACUCAAAAAGCCAUAGUGUCUUCUUACCUCCAGAUGACCACACUAGUUCCCCAGCAGUGGUUCUUAAGCAGGCUGAAACAGCUGAAGUGACAGAAUUAGAAUUCAGAAUAUGGAUAGACAUAAAGAUAAUUAAGAUUCAGGAGAAAGUUGAAACUCAAUCCAAGGAUUCAAUGGCAUAUGAUAAAAUUAUGCAGGUGAUAAAAUACAAAACGGCUAUUUUAAGGAAGAACCAUACUGAUCUGAUGGAGCUGAAAAAGUCACCUAAAUAAUUCCAGAAUAUAAUUACAGUAUUAACAGAGAAUUGACAAACUUGAGGAAAGAUCUCAGAGCUUAAGACUUGUUCUUCGAAAUAUCUCAGAUAAAAAUGAAGAAAAAAAUUAAACAAUAAUGAACAAAACUUCUGAGAAAUAUGGGAUCAUAUAAAGAGAAGAAAUCUGUGACUCAUUGGCAUCUCUGAAAGAGAGAGAGAAAGGAAGCAAGUUGUAAAACAUCUUCCAGGAUAUAUCCAUGGAACUUUUCCCAACUUUGCUAGAGGAGCCAACAUUCAAACUCAGGAAGUGCAGAGAACCCCUGUGAGAUACUGCACAAGACAACCAUCCCCAAGACACAUAGUCCUCAGGUUCUCCAAGGUUGAAAUGAAUGAAAAAGUGUUAAAGGACCUAGAGAGGAGGGGCAGGUCACCUACAAAGGGAACCCCAUCAGGCUAACAGCAGACCUUUCAGCAGAAACCCUAUAAGCCAGAAGAGAUUGGGGGUCUGUAUUCAGCAUUCUAAAAAAAAUUCCAGCUAAAAACUUCAUAUCAGCCAAACUAAGAUUAAGAUAACUAAGAUAAGCCAGGGAGAAAUAAUAUCCUUUUCAGACAAGCAAACAUUAAGGAUGUUUGUUACCACCAGACUUGCCUUAUAAGAGGUCCUUAAGGGAGUGCUACAUAUGGAAAGAAGAGACCAUUACUGGCCAUUAGAAAAAGACACUUAAGUACACAGAUCAUUGACACUAUAAAGCAACCACACAAACAAGUCUGCAAAAUAACCACCUAACAACAUGAUGACAGGAUCAAAUCUGCAUAUAUGAAUAUUAAUCUUGAAUGUACAUGGGCUAAAUGCCUCAAUCAAAAGGCACAGAGUGGCAAGUUGGAUAAAGAAGCAAGACCCAAUGGUAUGCUGUCUUCAAGAGACUCAUGUCACAUGCAAUGACACCUAUAGGCUCAAAGUAAAGGGAUGGAGAAAAAUUUAGCAAGCAAAUGGAAAACAGAAAAAAGCAAGGGUUGCUAUUCUAAUUUCAGACAAAACAGACUUUAAACCAAUGAAGAUUUUUUUAAAAAGGGCAUUACAUAAUAAUAAAAGGGUCAAUUCAACAAGAAGACCUAACUAUCCUAAAUAUAUAUGCACCCAACACAGGAACACCCAGAUUCAUAAAGCAAGUUCUUAGAGAUCUAUGAAGAGACUUAGAUAACCACACAAUAAUAGUUGGAAACUCCAACACCCCACUGACAGUAUUAGUUCAGUGGGGAAGAAAACUAACAAAGAUAUUGAGGACCCGAACUUUACACUUGACCAAAUGGACCUAGUAGAUAUCUACACAACUCACCACCUCAAAACAACAGAGUAUGCAUUCUUCUCAUCUGCAUAUGGCACAUACUCUAACAUUGACCAUACAAUUGGCCAAGAAACCAUCUUCAGCAAAUUCACAAAAUCCAAAAUUUGGAUCACAGCACUCUUGGAUCACAGUGCAAUAAAAACAGAAAUCAAUACUAAGAAAAUCACAGGCAGGUGCACUAGCUCAUGCCUAUAAUCCCAGCACUUUGGGAGGCUGAGGCGGGAGGAUCGCUUAAACCCAGGAAUUCACAACUAACCUGGACAGCAUAUUGAGACCUCAUCUCUAAAAAAAGAAAGAAAGAACAAAAGAAGGAAGGAAGGAAAGAAAGAAAGAAAAGAAAGAAAGGACGGAAGGAAGGAAAGAAAGAAAGGAAAGA